rnacentral:rRNA from 1 species
AUUGAACGCUGGCGGCAGGCCUAACACAUGCAAGUCGAGCGAGCGGCGGACGGGUGAGUAAUGUCUGGGAAACUGCCUGAUGGAGGGGGAUAACUACUGGAAACGGUAGCUAAUACCGCAUACCAUCAGAUGUGCCCAGAUGGGAUUAUCUAGUAGGUGGGGUAACGUCUCACCUAGGCGACGAUCCCCAGCUGGUCUGAGAGGAUGACCAGCCACACUGGAAAUGAGACACGGUCCAGACUCCUACGGGAGGCAGCAGUGGGGAAUAUUGCACAAUGGGCGCAAGCCUGAUGCAGCCAUGCCGCGUGUGUGAAGAAGGCCUUCGGGUUGUAAAGCACUUUCAGCGGGGAGGCGUUACCCGCAGAAGAAGCACCGGCUAACUCCGUGCCAGCAGCCGCGGUAAUUC